UUCAUUUUGUUCACAUCUUCUUUUUUUCGCUCGAUUUUGUUCAGAUAUCAUUUUCUUUCAUAAAGUGUUUGCUCGUUCCGUCUUAUUUAGUGAUUUUCUUUUUUCAAAAGGAGCAAAAGCAUAAACAUACAUAUGUCGUCUAAAAGAGAAAAUAGAAGAUCCCAGAGGCCGGAAACUCUGGUGAACUCAUCCUCAGUGCAAGAUUCCUGUUAUCGAACUAUAACCGAUUACGCUGAGCGUACUGAUAAGGAUGUCAAGAGAAAGAUGAAUUCAAUGAACCUGAAGUUGAUGGACAUAGAGAGACAAAUGGAAGCAGAAAUUAGGAAGGCCGCUUACACAUGAUAACUGCUUCUAUCGACCUAUUUUUGAAGAAAAGAUACAGAAAAUGUCACUCUCUUUUUGGCUUGUUAAACUUGUAGGCAUCAGAAUCAGGCACAUAUAGUCUCACAGCCACAAGGCUGACGCAGAACACCUAGUCAGACUAAAUGGAGUAGCAAAUACGACAAAUUGACAUCUAUUAUAGAAAGAGUGAAAAUAUAAACAUAUGUCGUCUAAAAGAGAAAAUAGAAAAUCGCAGAGGCCGGAUACUUUCAUGAACUCAUCCUCAGAACAAGAUUCCUGUUACCAAACCAUAAUCGAUUAUGCUGAGCGUACUGAUAGGGAUGCUAAGAGAAAGAUGAAUUCAAUGAACCAGAAGUUGAUGGGCAUAGAGAGACAAAUGGAAGCAGUUGAAGCAGAAAUAAGCAAGGCCACUUACACAUGAUAAAUACUUCUAUCAACCUUUUUUUGUAGG